AGGUGAAUUUUUGCGUUAUCAUCUUUUGUACAGGUUAAAACUAUCAAGUGUUAACUUUUGUGGUUUGUUAACAAGACUGUUCAUCAUAUCCACUUGUGCAGGUACCAUAACCAGAGUCACUUAUUCGGCAUGGUUUUAUACUGGAAUUAACCACAUAACUAAUUUUGUUUUACCACCUUGACGCCUUCAGUUACAUAGAACUUCUGUCAAUGCCCAACCGAUAAUGAACAAGUACAGUUUUAUAGAUGGUUCAAGUGAAGUUCUGCAAAGUGAAUCAAUUCUGCAAGAUACCAUGCCAUGCAUUUUUCCUUGGUAGCAUUAACAUGUAUAGAUCAUUUUAUUGUGUACAACAAAGUCAACAAUACAUGUUUGUAUAACCAUGGCUUUGGUCAAUUUCUGCCAUCGAGCUUCUGCGAAAAUGUGACCAGGAACUAAUUAUGUGGUAAUUCAGUAUAGAACCUGACACUAAAUAAUACUCCCUUCGUUCACUAAUGUAAGACCUUUUAGCUUUUUCUUGAUCGGUUUCUCUUCUUCAGUUGUUGGCUGCCCGUGCAACAAUUUUUCUUGAACCAAGUACUUUGCACUAUAUUUUGAACUUUCUAAUUUUGUUCCGUGACAUGUUUUUGCAGCCUUCCAUUCAAAAUUAGAUCUGGAGGCCUUCGGAUAGCAAUAAAUUUUACCUUUGUUUGUUCAUGCUUCAUAAAUUUGUUUUCCAACUGAUUAUUUGUUGUUACAAAUUUCAGAUUUUGACAGGUUUGGGUCAAUCUAUAACAUGCUUGACCGGGCGAUCACGCGGCUAUCGAGCACUCUUAUCUUCUGGUCAUAAGCUCUUACUAAGAUGUUGUCGGUCGGGUGUCCUCUACUACUGAAGUUUUACCACGAUCUGGUGGUGCUUGAGAGCAGAGACGACAUACUUUCAUCAGCAGUGGCCAAACCCCCACCGCCGCCGGUGCUGUACACCCCUGUACCCCUCGACAUCCAGUGCCUCGCGUCUGCCCAACAUGAAAACCUCCUCAAUAGGUACAUCUCUGAAUUUUUCCCUUGCUAGAGAAAGUCGACCAUUGUUUUGCCGUAGCUAUAAUUUGAGUUUAGAAAGUAUACUACUCUCUUUUUUACGUCAAUUUUUUUAGUUGAUUUUGCUCCAGGAUAGUGCCCUUUAUGUGCAUGAACUAAUGGGUGUGUUCACAACAUAGAGCAGCUUCUCCGUCCAGUCUCAUGUCUUUCUCUUUAGCAGGGAUCAGUGAGUACUACCGAGCAAAAAAGUCCUUCUCUUCGUCAUAUUUCUUCCUUUUCCUUACUACUUUUGUGGCUCCAAAUCUCAUGAUGGCUCUAUGUCUGUUCUUUUUGUUGACAUGGAUUUUACCCUGAAAGUUUCCUUCUGAUCUACAAUGUUCUGCCAUCUAAAUUUUUCUAUAUAUUAUGAAUGAGUAGACACUGGUGCAGAAGCCCAAUUGGAUGAAAUUAGGGACUACAGAGAGAACUUAUGUGGACAGCCCGGCAGAUUUCAAUGGCAAGACUUUUGUACAAUUACAGUGGCAGAUUUCAGAAAUUUGUAGAGCACAUGAUUUACAAUAACAGAUAUUCUGUCAAGCCAUGGAUAUCAACAAUCAGUCAAGCAAAGAAAUAUUCAUGGGAGAUAUACAGGGAUCCACAAGAAUGUGCACCGUAUGGCACUACCCUUUUGUCAUUGAGCCACUAUCACAUUUUGGUCAGCAAUCAGUUCAAGCAAUUCUCGGCGCCUUUAGUCAGAAGCUGGAAUUUACAACUAAACGAACAUCAAGCAACAGAAGAAAGGGUGGUCAUCUCUUUUUCUUGGCACCAAGAUGCCAUACAAGCAUUGAGACAUCGGAAACACAUAAGAAGUUUGUAUAUAAAUGAUUAGCCUUUUAGAAGUAUAUGGCGUUGCUUAAACUAUGUUUCUUUUGGCAACACCAUAUGAAAUGGAGAAAGUUUUAGGUUUAGGAUAAAAUUGUUCUAGAUUUUGAGAAAAUUGUUACAGAUCCAUGAGAAAAAUGUCCCAACUUUAGGAAAUUAACUAUCCAUAUUUUCGGUUAUUGGUUAAUAAGCUGGCCACAAUAGUUUUUUUAUUUCUAA